rnacentral:rRNA from 1 species
CCUACGGGUGGCAGCAGUGGGGAAUAUUGGACAAUGGGGGCAACCCUGAUCCAGCAAUGCCGCGUGAGUGAUGAAGGCCUUAGGGUUGUAAAGCUCUUUUGCCAGGGAUGCUGUACCUGGAGAAUAAGCCCCGGCUAACUUCGUGCCAGCAGCCGCGGGAAUACGAAGGGGGCGAGCGUUGUUCGGAAUUACUGGGCGUAAAGGGCGCGUAGGCGGCGACUCAAGUCAGAUGUGAAAGUCCUGGGCUGAACCUGGGGACUGCAUUUGAUACUGGGUUGCUUGAAUUCGGGAGAGGAUAGCGGAAUUCCCAGUGUAGAGGUGAAAUUCGUAGAUAUUGGGAAGAACACCGGUGGCGAAGGCGGCUAUCUGGACCGAAUUGACGCUGAGGCGCGAAAGCGUGGGGAGCAAACAGGAUUAGAUACCCCUGUAGUC